UACGUAGGGUGCAAGCGUUGUCCGGAAUUAUUGGGCGUAAAGAGCUCGUAGGCGGUUUGUCGCGUCGAAUGUGAAAACCCGGGGCUCAACCCCGGGCCUGCAUUCGAUACGGGCAGACUAGAGUUCGGUAGGGGGAGUCUGGAAUUCCUGGUGUAGCGGUGAAAUGCGCAGAUAUCAGGAGGAACACCCGUGGCGAAGGCGGGACACUGGCGGCAUUCUGACACUGAGGAGCGAAAGCGUGGGGAGCGAACAGG
rnacentral:rRNA from 1 species